GGAGAUCCUUAAGGGGAAUGGAGGGGGGCUCCUAUGGGGAGGCAGUAUGUGUAAGUAUAGAUGGAGGGGGGGGUGGCCCGGAAAGCACUGUUGGUAAGACUCAUAGGAAUUGAGGGGUGUAUAAGAAGCCCCGGCUAACUUCGUGCCAGGAGCCGCGGUAAUACGAAGGGGGCUAGCGCUGUUCGGAAUCACUGGGCGUAAAGCGCACGUAGGCGGAUCUUUAAGUCAGGGGUGAAAUCCCGAGGCUCAACCUCGGAACUGCCUUUGAUACUGGAGGUCUCGAGUCCGGGAGAGGUGAGUGGAACUGCGAGUGUACAGGUGAAAUCCGUACAUAUUCGCAAGAACACCAGUGGCGAAGGCGGCUCACUGGCCCGGUACUGACGCUGAGGUGCGAAAGCGUGGGGAGCAAACAGGAUUACAUACCCUGGUAGUCCACGCCGUAAACUAUGGAUGCUAGCCGUUGGGCAGCUUGCUGCUCAGUGGCUCAGCUAACGCUUUAAGCAUCCCGCCUGGGGAGUACGGUCGCAAGAUUAAAACUCAAAGGAAUUGGAGGGGGGUCCCUCCCCCCCAUUCCUUU
rnacentral:rRNA from 1 species